rnacentral:rRNA from 1 species
CAUUACCGAGUGCGGGCCCCUCGGGGCCCAACCUCCCACCCGUGUUGCCCGAACCUAUGUUGCCUCGGCGGGCCCCGCGCCCGCCGACGGCCCCCCUGAACGCUGUCUGAAGUUGCAGUCUGAGACCUAUAACGAAAUUAGUUAAAACUUUCAACAACGGAUCUCUUGGUUCCGGCAUCGAUGAAGAACGCAGCGAAAUGCGAUAACUAAUGUGAAUUGCAGAAUUCAGUGAAUCAUCGAGUCUUUGAACGCACAUUGCGCCCUCUGGUAUUCCGGAGGGCAUGCCUGUCCGAGCGUCAUUGCUGCCCUCAAGCCCGGCUUGUGUGUUGGGCCCCGUCCCCCCCGCCGGGGGGACGGGCCCGAAAGGCAGCGGCGGCACCGCGUCCGGUCCUCGAGCGUAUGGGGCUUCGUCACCCGCUCUAGUAGGCCCGGCCGGCGCCAGCCGACCCCCAACCUUUAAUUAUCUCAGGUUGACCUCGGAUCAGGUAGGGAUACCC